rnacentral:rRNA from 1 species
CAGCAGUAGCCGCGGUAACACGGAGGGUGCAAGCGUUAAUCGGAAUUACUGGGCGUAAAGCGCACGCAGGCGGUCUGUCAAGUCAGAUGUGAAAUCCCCGGGCUUAACCUGGGAACUGCAUUUGAAACUGGCAGGCUAGAGUCUUGUAGAGGGGGGUAGAAUUCCAGGUGUAGCGGUGAAAUGCGUAGAGAUCUGGAGGAAUACCGGUGGCGAAGGCGGCCCCCUGGACAAAGACUGACGCUCAGGUGCGAAAGCGUGGGGAGCAAACAGGAUUAGAUACCCGAGUAGUCCCUGUCUCUUAUCC